CAAUUUGCUCGGAAUACAUAUAGGGAUGUUUAGAUUUUUUUUAUGAAAUUGGUUUGUGUGCCUGUUAUGUGUUGUUGCGAAGCCGAUUCACUUGUUUACGUGCGCCUCUCUAUUUAUUGAAUCUUCUAAUAAAUGGUUUCAAGUUGCUGCUGUAUAUGUAGAUUUAAAGUGAGCACCUGCCUUCUACCGUUCUACAUCAAUCCUAAAUGGAUAUUGCAUAUACGCUUCAAUUGUGAGGAGGGGAACGUGUUCCUUGUGAUGCGCCCCCAGAGGCAAUUAGAUUUCCUCCCAAGUUUAUUUCUAUUUGAUAUCAAACGGUCAUUGCGGAAAAGUAAACUACAUAACUCUCCAAGAGUUCGUAUUUAUCCUGUAUAAGAACAAGCUCAUCUCUAGACCUUCAAAAUGCUGUAUCUACAAAUGGAAGUGCAAGGUUUCAACGGAGUCUGUUCAUUGUGCUUGAAGAAAGGUCUAAACGUUGACUUGGAUUUGUUAUCACGAAGUCGUGCAUCGAGCCAAUUCCUCAACGUACCGAAAUCAACCAAGCAGCCGGCUGGAUGGUAAAACUUUCAUUACUGAAGUACUUCUAUAUGCUUGAAUGAGUUUGGAAAUAACCAUCGUACUGUGUCCACUAUACGUGAUUUGACGAACAGCUGAACUAAACAGCCAGGCUAUUGGUGAUUAAAGUUGUAUCUAUAAAAUUUGUCAAACUGUGCAUUUCGACCUAGAAUUUAACUUAACUGAUUGUAAAUUAUAUAAAAUUUACUCGCAUGCAGGGGAACUUCAGUGUACUAUUAGCAGUGUUUUCGAAUUCUUUUAAAAUUCUCCAAGCCUUUAUUUUUAAAAUUCUUCGAAUGAAACGGACAUUUACUAGGAACUGUACACAGGUUAAUGGUUCUGCCAAUACAUGCCUAAGCCACCUGUUUUAUUCCAGAUUAAAAUUGGUAUCGCAAGUUAGGAAAUUUAAUGGUUCUCUCGUACGAACUACAUAGUAAACCUCUAAAUGGAUAGCUUUGUCUUUAAUUAUCAGAUCCAGCAGCGGUCAAAAUUCCUUAUCUCAUAAUUUCAAAAUCAUUUAUUUAACACUAGCUUUCUUCGUUGCUAUUCCAGUUCUGCCCUAUUUGGCUCACUCGCGGUAAACGAGACAUGUUUUUAUAAUCUCUGGAUGAGAAUUUCCUUCUUGAGAUUUUAUUCUAAUUCACAAAUACUCCACACUCAAUGACACGCGUAUUGAGUUGUUGAAUUUUAAACUUUAAAUAAGCAAUUAAGAGAAAGUAAAUUUAAAAUAAAAAAAAUAUUGCUUCAGUCAAAUGUGCCUCCUAUUAUAAGAAUUAAAACAACGAUAAAUAUUCCAGUUCUCUCUAAUUAGGAAGCCAAGUAAAUUACAAAAUCAAUGGAUUAAAAUAACUUGAUCAUCCAAUAGUUUCAUGAAUUUCAGUCUCGGAUUAGAAUGCUUUUCUCAAACUAUUAAAUUGAAAAGCGUCUGUCCAAAAGCUUGCCUCCGACAAUUUAAUGGAAUAGAAUGUUUAGAUCUGAAAGGUAAUAAAUUUAAAAUCGCAGCAUCUUGGUAAAUUGAUUUAUUGCAGAUUCAACUUUGGAAUCUCAAAGCCAAAUCUUUCGCAUAAUAUAAAAUGCGUCGAUAAACGGCUCUUGCAUUACAAUUCUUUAAAAGAAAUCUAACUAUACCAAUUUAAAGUAUACACUAAGCUUACUGUUCAUCCUCAGAUUCGGAAAACCUAAUUUUCGCGCAUGCGUCAGGAAGCCUUUAUUUCGUCAAAGGGAUGAGAGGAAAGAUGUUUGCAUUUAGCAAGAGGAUGAACUCGAAUAAUUCGUGGAAUUAGAUGCAAUAACGGCUCAUCUUUUAGCGUACAACCUAUUGGCCGAAUACAAUCGUCGAAAAUUGCCAGUCUUGGGAUCCUGAAGUGAGGAGUGGGUUGGGAGCAGAACGAGAGUUCAAAGAUCUAGGUUAUUCAGUAUCAAUAUUAAAAGUAUAAAUUGCACUUAUCUGGUUCAUUGUGGAUGGCUGUGAUUGAAGUUUGGAGAAUGGAUAGACGCUUGACAGGUCAACGUAAGGGUUAACGCGUUGAGGUAAAUACUGGUCCCUGUUUACUUUCCAUCUAGGCUGUUUGGGACCGGCGGUCUAAGUGGAAAGUAUCGGUCCCUAGGGAACCGGUACUCGACGUGUUAACAAACUGGGUUGGGACAAUGCAACGAGUGGUCACUAAAUUAUGACGCAUUAAAUGGGAUUGGAAUUGUAUUAAAUGAUGGAAUGAAUGUUGGUGUAGUGUGUAAGGAUUAUGAACCAGUAAAAGUGCGUUUUAUACUUCAAAUAUUGGUAUCGGUUGAGGAUAGCUUUAAACAUUUCAUUAUACGCUAACAUGCGACAUUCUGAAAUAUUUCGACACUUUUCUUGAGUCGUACAUAGGAUAACGCAGUUUCCAAAUUUGUAACUUAUAAGAAAUUUAUGCGCACAAUAGACGAUUUUCUUAAAAAUCGUGCAUAAACAUGCAUAAUAAAACUAAAUGUGGGUGAAGAGGUCUAUUUUUUACCAAAGAAUGGAAUUGCAGAAAUAUAUCGCAUCUUGGCCUUUCCUGAUCAAAAUUCUACAAAAAAUUACAAAUUCUAUUAUAAACUCGGAAUACUCAACCAACUUUCAAUGUAUCAUUUAAGUCUUAAAACUGCAUAUUUUUGGCGUAAAAUGCAGUCUUUUGAAGAUUUAAGAAUGAUAACUUGAGGAAAUUCGAGAAUCGAAUUAAAAAUUAGAGGCUCAAAUUACGAUUCGGUUCAAAAAUUGCUUAUUGUUUUCAGAAGGGCUUCUUUUUAAUCGAGCAUUUUCCAAACGUCUUUUCCGUAUUAAAUUGGACACUUGUCAUUUAUAGAACUAUCUGUUAGGAAGUUUACAAGAAUAUUUGUAUCAAAUGAUGCCAUAGUACCUUAAAAUUGAAAUUUAAAUUGAUUCUUUUAUCUGGAAUAGCAAUGGUCAAUAAAAUCCCUAAAUGAAUAGGUAUCACUCCUCCAACACUUGUUUAAUCUUGACUUUAAAUAAUUCGUAAUGAUUAUCCGAAUAUUCAAUUAAAAGUUAUAAGCUCAUUGUCCUAAAAGAGUACAAUUUCAUAAAUGGAACACCAGUAGACCUCAAUUUUUUUUUAAUCGCUUUUCAAUGAUACCUCAUUUUGUCCCGUGACCUACGAAUGUACUUAAAUAGCAUGCAACAUCUAAUUAGAAUUAUGAAUUAAAGCAAUAUUUUCCUUAAUGAAAAAGUAUAUGAUAUUAACGUUUCAAAGUUACUUUUGCAUUUUAAAUUAAUAUUCUUGCUUUAAUUGCACACCUAGAUAUUUUUGUAUGAUUCGACGGUUCAAUUUUUUCAGUGUGAUUCAAAGGAUUAAUUUAUAUAUCAGUCGGUUGUAAUCUGUGUAUAUUUGAAUUAAUGUCAUUUUAAUAUUUAAAUUUUACAAUCGUCCGUUUCAUUUAAAUAUAAAGCUCCAAUUAAAUCUAUGUAGGUAAUGUUCAACUGGAAUAACAUUUGUUGACAAGCAAGUUUAAAUGGGAAAUUUCCUAAUUUCCUUGCCGUACAAGAAAUUUGUCUAAAUUUGCAUCUCGUGCCUUUACACUAUGUUAAUAUUUAUUAAACAUUUUCUAGAAUUACAAGGAUAAUAAGAUUCAAUGAUUUCUGAAUCUUUUGAAGUUCCCUUGCCAUUUUAAGUAUUUAGAUUGAAGUAAACUUUCUGCUAACGUAAUUUAAAAUUUGUAAAUCUAUACUGUUUGAAACUAUUAACAAUAGCUUCAAGGACGGGUCCU